GAGACACGCUGGCGGCGUGCCUAACACAUGCAAGUCGAACGGAGAGGCUUGACAGAACACUUCGGUGGGACGACAAGUUUUCUUAGUGGCGGACGGGUGAGUAACGCGUGAGCAACCUACCUUUGAGAGGGGAAUAACAGUUGGAAACGGCUGCUAAUACCGCAUAAAGUCAGAAAGACGCAUGUUUUUCUGACCAAAGAUUUAUCGCUCAAAGAUGGGCUCGCGUCUGAUUAGAUAGUUGGUGAGGUAACGGCCCACCAAGUCGACGAUCAGUAGCCGGACUGAGAGGUUGAACGGCCACAUUGGGACUGAGACACGGCCCAGACUCCUACGGGAGGCAGCAGUGGGGAAUAUUGCACAAUGGGCGCAAGCCUGAUGCAGCAACGCCGCGUGCGGGAAGACGGCCUUCGGGUUGUAAACCGCUGUCCUUGGUGAAGAAAGAAAUGACGGUAACCAUGGAGGAAGCCACGGCUAACUACGUG
rnacentral:rRNA from 1 species